rnacentral:rRNA from 1 species
AGAGUUUGAUUAUGGCUCAGGAUGAACGCUAGCGGCAGGCUUAACACAUGCAAGUCGAGGGGCAGCGGGAUGUAGCAAUACAUUGCCGGCGACCGGCGGAUGGGUGCGUAACGCGUAUGCAACCUACCUUAUACAGGGGAAUAACCUUUCGAAAGGGAGACUAACACCCCAUGGUAUUGAUUUAAGGCAUCUUAGAUUAAUUAAAUAUUUAUAGGUAUAAGAUGGGCAUGCGUAUGAUUAGCUAGUUGGUAAGGUAACGGCUUACCAAGGCGACGAUCAUUAGGGGUUCUGAGAGGAAGGUCCCCCACACUGGUACUGAGACACGGACCAGACUCCUACGGGAGGCAGCAGUGAGGAAUAUUGGUCAAUGGGCGCAAGCCUGAACCAGCCAUGCCGCGUGCAGGAAAGACGGCCUUAUGGGUUGUAAACUGCUUUUACAUAAGACUAACCGUAUAUUUGCGAAUAUACCUGAAUGUAUUAUGAGAAUAAGGAUCGGCUAACUCCGUGCCAGCAGCAGC